rnacentral:rRNA from 1 species
UAGGGAAUCUUCCGCAAUGGACGCAAGUCUGACGGAGCAACGCCGCGUGAGUGAUGAAGGUUUUCGGAUCGUAAAGCUCUGUUGCCCUAGACGAACAGCAAGGCGAGUAACUGCGCUUUGUGUGACGGUAUAGGAGAAGAAAGCCCCGGCUAACUACAUG